GAUGAACGCUGGCGGCGUGCUUAACACAUGCAAGUCGAACGGAAAGGCCCUGCUUUUGUGGGGUGCUCGAGUGGCGAACGGGUGAGUAACACGUGAGUAACCUGCCCUUGACUUUGGGAUAACUUCAGGAAACUGGGGCUAAUACCGGAUAGGAGCUCCUGCUGCAUGGUGGGGGUUGGAAAGUUUCGGCGGUUGGGGAUGGACUCGCGGCUUAUCAGCUUGUUGGUGGGGUAGUGGCUUACAAAGGCUUUGACGGGUAGCCGGCCUGAGAGGGUGACCGGCCACAUUGCGACUGCGAUACGGCCCAGACUCCUACGGGAGGCAGCAGUGGAGAAUAUUGCACAAUGGGCCGAAGCCUGAUGCAGCAACGCCGCGUUCGGGAUGACGGCCUUCGGGUUGUAAACCGCUUUCGCCGGUGACGAAGCGGUAGUGACGGUAAUGGGUAAAGAAGCACCGGCUAACUACGUG
rnacentral:rRNA from 1 species